rnacentral:misc_RNA from 1 species
CGACGACCCAACCGAACCGGACUCUCUCAACUCAUUUGGUCGACUUUUCUCCUUCACUUCCACCGGCCACCUCCUCUUCAUCAUCGUCAUCAUCAUCAUCAUCUUCCUCUCUCUCUUCAAUCCACCCUCCGAAUUUUGUGAUUGGGAGGGAGAGAGAAUGUCAGGAGGUGGUACGCAGAAAAGCUUAAGGAAAGCACUUGGGGCCCUUAAGGACACAACCACU